rnacentral:rRNA from 3 species
CCUGACCUCGGUUCAGACGUGAUUACCCGCUGAACUUAAGCAUAUCACUAAGCGGAGGAAAAGAAACUA